GACGAACGCUGGCGGCGUGCUUAACACAUGCAAGUCGAACGGAAAGGCCCUGCUUUUGUGGGGUGCUCGAGUGGCGAACGGGUGAGUAACACGUGAGUAACCUGCCCUUGACUUUGGGAUAACUUCAGGAAACUGGGGCUAAUACCGGAUAGGAGCUCCUGCUGCAUGGUGGGGGUUGGAAAGUUUCGGCGGUUGGGGAUGGACUCGCGGCUUAUCAGCUUGUUGGUUGGGUAGUGGCUUACCAAGGCUUUGACGGGUAGCCGGCCUGAGAGGGUGACCGGACACAUUGGGACUGAGAUACGGCACAGACUCCUACGGGAGGCAGCGGUGGGGAAGGUAGCACUAUGGGCGGGAGCCUGGUGCAGCAACGCCGCGUGCGGUAUGACGGCCUUCGGGUUGUAAACCGCUGUCGCCUGUGACGAAGCGUGAGUGACGGUAAUGGGUAAAGAAGCACCGGCUAACUACGUG
rnacentral:rRNA from 1 species